GCGGCGCUGGCGACUCGAGCCCAAGAAGAAGCGUCGACCCUGAACACGAGUUUGAACGACACGGAGCGAAGGUUCCAGGAGCUGAAGCAGAAGCUGGACUCGUUUGGAGGAGAAGGUCUGGACAUGGUCAGUGAAAGAGCGGAGAACAUGAAGAGAGAAGCCGAGGAACUGCUCAACCAGGCCACCAGAGGAGUGGAGCAGCUCAAGAAGUUGGAGAAGAAGUUCCGCAGUAACGAGCAGAAGCUGCAGCGUCAGCGAUCGGAGCUCGAGGAACUGAGAGGAAACGUGACGUUUGUGAGAGACGAGAUCAGAGACCAGGUCCAGAAGUACAGCAGCUGUGCCUGAGACCGAGACCGGACCAGGACCAGGACCAGGACCAGGACCAGAGACCAGACCAGACCAGAGACCAGACCAGAGACCAGACCAGAGACCAGACCAGAGACCAGACCAGAGACCAGACCAGAGACCAGACCAGAGACCAGAGCAGAAACCAGGUCCAGAAGUACAGCAGCUGUGCCUGAGACCGAGACCAGGACCAGGACCAGAGACCAGAGACCAGACCAGAGACCAGACCAGAAAUGCAGCAGCUGUGCCUAAGACCAAGGCUAUGACCAAGACCAGGAUCAGGACCAAGAACAGGACAAGGACCUGGAUCAAGACCAGAGACCAGGUCCAGAAAUACAGCAGCUGUACUUAAAACCAGGACCAGGUCCAGACCAGAGACCAGAGACCUGAGACCCGCACCCACGCCUACAAACUGGACCAAAACUGGACCAAAACUGGACCAAAACUGGACCAAACAGACCCUGGAUCCUUGGUCCUGACGCAGACGGACCGAGUCUCAGCGUCUGGUUUUAUUUUAAAGUCUGUAUCUGGUUUUGGAGAUUUAGUUUUCAGUUAUUUUCAGUUUGGUUCAGAUAUUUUUGAGUUUGAGUUUUUUUGUUCGUGGUCGAUCCUGGAACUUGUCUCCAAAUGAUUUUAUUUUAUCACAAUUAUUACUGAAUUAAUUAUAACUCCAAAUCAGUGAUAUUAUAAUUCUUUAUUUUCUUCAAAUUUUAAAAAUGUUUAUCGUGACCAAAUAUUUUAGAUUUUUCCCUUUUGUCCUCGUGAGACUCGGAGCUUCAGACGAGCUGAACCUGAAACACGUU